rnacentral:rRNA from 1 species
GACGAACGCUGGCGGCGUGCUUAACACAUGCAAGUCGAACGGAAAGGCCCUGCUUUUGUGGGGUGCUCGAGUGGCGAACGGGUGAGUAACACGUGAGUAACCUGCCCUUGACUUUGGGAUAACUUCAGGAAACUGGGGCUAAUACCGGAUAGGAGCUCCUGCUGCAUGGUGGGGGUUGGAAAGUUUCGGCGGUUGGGGUUGGACUCGCGGCUUAUCAGCUUGUUGGUGGGGUAGUGGCUUACCAAGGCUUUGACGGGUAGCCGGCCUGAGAGGGUGACCGGCGACAUUGGGACUGAGAUACGGCCCAGACGCCUACGGGAGGCAGCAGUGGGGAAUAUUGCACAAUGGGCGGAAGCCUGAUGCAGCAACGCCGCGUGCGGGAUGACGGCCUUCGGGGUGUAAACCGCUUUCGCCUGUGACGAAGCGUGAGUGACGGUAAUGGGUAAAGAAGCACCGGCUAACUACGUG